rnacentral:rRNA from 1 species
GCGUGGGGAGCAAACAGGAUUAGAUACCCUGGUAGUCCACGCCCUAAACGAUGUACACUAGUUGUUGGGAUGCUAGUCAUCUCAGUAAUGCAGCUAACGCAUUAAGUGUACCGCCUGGGGAGUACGGUCGCAAGAUUAAAACUCAAAGGAAUAGACGGGGACCCGCACAAGCGGUGGAGCAUGUGGUUUAAUUCGAAGAUACGCGAAGAACCUUACCUGGGCUUGAUAUCCUAAGAACCUUAUAGAGAUAUGAGGGUGCUAGCUUGCUAGAACUUAGAGACAGGUGCUGCACGGCUGUCGUCAGCUCGUGUCGUGAGAUGUUGGGUUAAGUCCCGCAACGAGCGCAACCCACGUAUUUAGUUGCUAACGGUUCGGCCGAGCACUCUAAAUAGACUGCCUUCGUAAGGAGGAGGAAGGUGUGGACGACGUCAAGUCAUCAUGGCCCUUAUGCCCAGGGCGACACACGUGCUACAAUGGCAUAUACAAUGAGACGCAAUACCGCGAGGUGGAGCAAAUCUAUAAAAUAUGUCCCAGUUCGGAUUGUUCUCUGCAACUCGAGAGCAUGAAGCCGGAAUCGCUAGUAAUCGUAGAUCAGCCAUGCUACGGUGAAUACGUUCCCGGGUCUUGUACUCACCGCCCGUCACACCAUGGGAGUUGAUUUCACUCGAAGCCGGAAUACUAAACUAGUUACCGUCCACAGUGGAAUCAGCGACUGGGGUGAAGUCGUAACAAGGUAACCGUAGGAGAACCUGCGGUUGGAUCACCUCCUUUCUA